GUGCUCGCUUUGGCAGCACAUGUACCAAAAUUGGACCAAUUCAGAGAUUAGCAUGGUCCCUGCAAAAAGAUAACAGGCAAAUUCAUGAGGGGUUCCAUACUUUU
ensembl:snRNA U6 U6 spliceosomal RNA